GUAGUUCAGUUGGUUAGAAUGCCAGCCUGUCACGCUGGAGGUCGAGGGUUCGAGCCCCUUC
rnacentral:tRNA from 1 species